rnacentral:tRNA from 1 species
AUUUAAAUAGUUUAUUAAAAAUAUUGAUUUGUGGAAUCAAAGAUGUAGAAAUAUUUUAAAUA